rnacentral:rRNA from 1 species
GUAAAAGUCGUAACAAGGUUUCCGUAGGUGAACCUGCGGAAGGAUCAUUAUCGAGUUUUGACUGGGUUGUAGCUGGCCUUCCGAGGCAUGUGCACGCCCUGCUCAUCCACUCUACACCUGUGCACUUACUGUGGGCUUCAGAUCGUAAAACGGGUCCCUUUACCGGGCUUGCGGAGCGUGUCUGUGCCUGCGUUUAUCACAAACUCUAUAAAGUAUCAGAAUGUGUAUUGCGAUGUAACGCAUCUAUAUACAACUUUCAGCAACGGAUCUCUUGGCUCUCGCAUCGAUGAAGAACGCAGCGAAAUGCGAUAAGUAAUGUGAAUUGCAGAAUUCAGUGAAUCAUCGAAUCUUUGAACGCACCUUGCGCUCCUUGGUAUUCCGAGGAGCAUGCCUGUUUGAGUGUCAUGAAAUCUUCAACCUGCAAGCUUUUGUGGUUUGUAGGCUUGGACUUGGAGGCUUGUCGGCCGUUGUUGGUCGGCUCCUCUUAAAUGCAUUAGCUUGGUUCCUUGCGGAUCGGCUCUCAGUGUGAUAACGUCUACGCUGCGACCGUGAAGCGUUUGGCGAGCUUCUAACCGUCUCAGUUGGAGACAACUUUAUGACCUCUGACCUCAAAUCAGGUAGGACUACCCGCUGAACUUA